GCCUCCUGAUUAACUAUAAGAGGUCAAGCCUGCCCAGUGACAUUGUUCAACGGCCGCGGUAUCCUAACCGUGCGAAGGUAGCGUAAUCACUUGUUCUUUAAAUGAGGACUAGUAUGAACGGCUUCACGAAGGCUAUACUGUCUCCCUUAUCUAAUCAGUUAAACUAAUCUCCCCGUGAAGAAGCGGGGAUUUACAUAUAAGACGAGAAGACCCUAUGGAGCUUAAAACACUUCUAAACAUUUGAAUUCCACACUACCAUUUUCAGAAACCUUCAUGAAACCCAUCAUUUUGUUUUAAGUUUUAGGUUGGGGUGACCACGGAGAAUAACCUAACCUCCACGUAGAAAGAACUUUCUUUUCUAAGCAAAGAGCUACAUCUUUAUGCAUCAACAUAUUGACCUAAUUGACCCAAUUAUUUGAUCAACGAACCAAGUUACCCU
rnacentral:rRNA from 1 species